rnacentral:rRNA from 1 species
GGAAGGGCACCACCAGGAGUGGAGCCUGCGGCUUAAUUUGACUCAACACGGGGAAACUCACCAGGUCCAGACACAUUAAGGAUUGACAGAUUGAGAGCUCUUUCUUGAUCAUGUGGGUGGUGGUGCAUGGCCGUUCUUAGUUGGUGGAGUGAUUUGUCUGCUUAAUUGCGAUAACGAACGAGACCUUAACCUGCUAAAUAGCCAGGCCCGCUUUUGCGGGUCGCCGGCUUCUUAGAGGGACUAUCGGAUUUCAAGUCGAUGGAAGUUUGAGGCAAUAACAGGUCUGUGAUGCCCUUAGAUGUUCUGGGCCGCACGCGCGCUACACUGACAGAGCCAACGAGUACAUCACCUUGGCCGGAAGGUCUGGGUAAUCUUGUUAAACUCUGUCGUGCUGGGGAUAGAGCAUUGCAAUUAUUGCUCUUCAACGAGGAAUUCCUAGUAAGCGCAAGUCAUCAGCUUGCGUUGAUUACGUCCCUGCCCUUUGUACACACCGCCCGUCGCUACUACCGAUUGAAUGGCUUAGUGAGGCUUCAGGAUCGUCCAGUGGAGAUCGGCAACGAUCACCACCGGAUGAAAAUCUAGUCAAACUUGGUCAUUUAGAGGAAGUAAAAGUCGUAACAAGGUUUCCGUAGGUGAACCUGCGGAAGGAUCAUUAAAAGAUAUGGCAUGUCCCCUGUGGAUAUUACCAAUCAACCCAUUCUGAGUACCUUACCUGUUGCUUCCACACAGUGUCUGUGCAUUAGUACUGACAUCCUGAUGAUAGGUGAAAGCCUAUCGGAGGGAGAUGUGUGGAGGGUAUACUUAUAAACUCUUGCAUUACCAUGUAUUCUGUCUGAUAAUGUUUAAUAUAAACUAUUAAAACUUUCAACAACGGAUCUCUUGGUUCUCGCAUCGAUGAAGAACGCAGCGAAAUGCGAUAAGUAAUGUGAAUUGCAGAAUUCAGUGAAUCAUCGAAUCUUUGAACGCACAUUGCGCCUCCUGGUAUUCCGGGAGGCAUGCCUGUUCGAGCGUCAUUAUAAUCUACUCAAGCUCUUUUGCUUGGUAUUGAGAGAUGAGUAUGCCUCUGCGUACUCACUUUCGAAAUCCAAAGGCGUAGAGCCCCACGUGCCACGGCGUAGUAAGUUUUCUUUCGCUUGGAAUGUGAGGGUGAUAUUGCCACAAACCCCCAACUUUUCUAGAUUGACCUCGAAUCAGGUAGGGAUACCCGCUGAACUUAAGCAUAUCAAUAAGCGGAGGAAAAGAAACCAACAGGGAUUGCCUUAGUAACUGCGAGUGAAGCGGCAAAAGCUCAAAUUUGAAAUCUGGCGUCUUCGGCGUCCGAAUUGUAAUUUGGAGGGGCAUCUUCGGAGUUGGCGCCGUCCUAAGUUCCUUGGAACAGGACGUCAUAGAGGGUGAGAAUCCCGUGCCUGGAUGGCUGUCCAUCUCCAUGUGAAGUGUCUCCGACGAGUCGAGUUGUUUGGGAAUGCAGCUCAAAAUGGGUGGUAAAUUUCAUCUAAAGCUAAAUAUUGGCGAGAGACCGAUAGCGCACAAGUAGAGUGAUCGAAAGAUGAAAAGCACUUUGAAAAGAGAGUUAAAAAGUACGUGAAAUUGUUGAAAGGGAAGCGCUUGAGACCAGACUCAACUUUAGGUAAUCAGCCGUGCUUCUGUGCGGUGCACUUGCCUUUAGUUGGACCAGCAUCGGUUUUGACGGUGGGAUAAAAGGUGGAGGAAUGUGGCUCUCUUCGGGGAGUGUUAUAGCCUCUGUCACAAUGCCACCAGUUGGGACCGAGGACCGCGCUUCGGCUAGGAUGCUGGCGUAAUGGUCUUAAGCGACCCGUCUUGAAACACGGACCAAGGAGUCUAACAUCUAUGCGAGUGUUCGGGUGGAAAACCCUUGCGCGUAAUGAAAGUGAACGGAGGUGGGAACCUUUCGGGGUGCACCAUCGACCGAUCCUGAUGUCUUCGGAAGGAUUUGAGUAAGAGCAUAGCUGUUGGGACCCGAAAGAUGGUGAACUAUGCCUGAAUAGGGUGAAGCCAGAGGAAACUCUGGUGGAGGCUCGCAGCGGUUCUGACGUGCAAAUCGAUCGUCAAAUUUGGGUAUAGGGGCGAAAGACUAAUCGAACC